UUUGGCUGAACCUUGGACCUGAUUUGUCACCUCAACCUCUCUGGGACUGCUGAUGGACCCAUCUUUUUCAUCAGCCUAGUCCCAUUCUGUUACCUUGGGAUGUGCCAGUCGCUGGAUGCUACUCUGCUGCUGCCUUCCCCCUUGCUCAGGAACAGCCUUAUUCUUGCUGCUUUUCACUCUGAGGACCACCUCCAGGGCAACCAGGGAAGCUCCUGCAAUACAUGGAGAGGUUCAGCAGAGCACUGGACUCAAAGAAGGUGUUUAUUACGAUCCUGCCUGUCCUGGAGCACAGGUCCUUGAAAACCCUGUGUCCUGCAUAGCUCCUCAUGUGUAAUUGCUAAUGCAUCCACCUGGGCCACCACCUCCAUGGUAGGUUAAUUGCCUGGAUUUCUGCUGAGCUGAAUAGUCUCCACUUACCUGAAGAUGCAACGUAUUUAUUUUACAAUAUCCUUUCCCUGUUACCUAUUAUUGUAUCAAGUGUCCUUCUCAUUUGUGUACUCCAUAAUCUCAAUAUUGUUGAGAUUUAGCCCUUGAAAGCCCCUCUGGUACCUCAGGAGCUGUGCAAAGCCAGGCAAAUCUAAGGAUGCGCCUGCUGGACUGCAGUGUGAUGGCGAGGUACCCGAUAUAACAGCAGAUAAGACUGCCAUCACUAGCACAGCAUCUGCAGCUCCCUCAGCUACCUCUAUCUUCCACUACCAUCUCACUGGCUUCCCAUUUCAAACUAGGCAGUUAGCCUCUUUGUAGUCACAACUACAUUGAUGAAAAGCAGCCCACGAUACAUGAAUUGCAGUCUGUAACCUUACCAGUGCUGUUUCUCUGAUGCUGCUAAGGACAUGAAACUGGGCAGUUAAAUGAGCUGGGAAGCCUAUCACUUCGUGAAAGCAUCUAAAUAUCUGUAAUGUCACUUUGCAAGAGCAUCACUUUCUGAACUGAACUAAAUCUCUGCAAUGUCAGCCCUUGGAGGACAAGUUCUGUGUUUCUUCUUUAAUGGACUCGUUUCUUAGAGACAGUUGAUGCUUAUUUGUCAUUAUUUGCUGUGGUCUGUUGAAUCCAUCACUCUCAUGUGUGAUCCCUCUAAUGAAACGCCAACAGCGUUAUGUAGUUCAUGAGCCCCCAUGGGCUGAGGUGGUCCAAAUGGCCUCUGGGAGGCCAGUGACUUGCCUUCUCCCGUGGACAUUUUGCACCCAGCAAGGUGAGCAUCAAUUAGAGCACCCAGUUUGUUGAAAGAUCUACCCAAAUCAAUCAAUCAAUGGAUUCAAAGGUUCCAAGCACACAGUUAAAGGCCAACUGUCUCUUCAAAUCCUAAGUGAAAUAAGCUGGAUUGAAUCCUUGGU
rnacentral:lncRNA from 14 species